CAUGAUCCUUUCCAGAACGGGUCCUCAUUCUGCCGACAAAAGGAGACUUAGCUUCUAAUCUUCAUGAAUAGGAAAGGACAACAUAGAAAAGCAAAGACAGGUAGCAUGAAUUGGGUAGGUAAAACAUGCGUUGAAACUGCUAUAGAGGAGGUUUAACUUAAAAGUGUAUGUCAUGAUGCAUGCUCGUCCUAUUCGUCAACACAUAGUGGCUAUCACGUUCUAUGGCGGUGGCAUACCUACUCACUCUGUCAUUGUACACUAGUCGCACUUUCCUAGUGUUUAAUUAGUGUACAUGCAGAAAAUUUCAUUACCACCCAAACCCCAUGAUGAAAUUCACAGACUUUGUCACAGUUUAUACUCCAUAUAUUUCUAUAUGGAGGCCAGCUCCUCAUUAAGCGCCGAGCCACAUAUAGGCGCCGCUGCCACACUUUAACCACAGGGCAGCCCAUUAUGGUAACUAUUCAUUACACUUCUCAGCGUUCCCAUGUCUGUAUACCCAUACACUUUCAUGGGGUACUGAAUCCCAAAAAAGUAAUUACUCCACAUCGCAACCUUCAUAUAUACAUAUGUGUAACAUGUAUAUAGUCUAGUGCCACAUUUAAGCACUCCCAUAGACCGACGUUUGUUAGGUCAUGCUCUCACAUCUCACCUUACCUUAGCAUCGAUCCAUUCAAAAUAGAAUGGCCCCAAAAAUAACAUUACACAUGUAGGCAAAAAUUCCCCCAGUUGUGGGUUAGUUGUUAGUAUCUUAAUCUAAGCCACCUUAUAGUCCUUAGCCUUAACCACAUACUAUUUGCACUUCUACUAUCAGGCUUUGCUUAUAUAUUAUUAAGUUUUCCAAAAUAAUUUCGACUCAAAAUCCCUUUGAAGUUUACCAAAGGAUUACUUUAACAUUCAUGCUAAUGGGGGAUCGCUCCGAUACCACGUUGUGAUAGCCAUCCCAAGUUAUCAGACCCACAUGCACCAAUCCUUGCCAUUAACGGCCUUAGAUGGUUGUGCAUGUGUACCGAGUAACUUAACAAGGCUAUCAAGUUCAACUCGAACUAAUCAUCCUGAGGAUCUCUCACAUAACAUGUACAUUACAGUAAUCACAUUUGAUACACACACACUUCAGAGAUAGAGCGAAAGACUUUACAAAACAUAUUUUUACAAUUCCAAAUCUCAAGUUUUACAUCAUAGAAAGAGUUGUAAUUAUUACAAGUCCUGAUAGUACUCAAGUGCAUGACUUAAUACACAAUUGGGAAAGGUGAAGCCUUUCCAUAAGAAAUACACUAAGAAUUAAAAUCUUCAAGGCCUCCCCACGAAGCAACUAUUAGGAGCUAAAGAUAGCAAGAAUCCUCCCUGCAACAACAAAGGGAAUAAAACCCUGAGUAUGCAAUUACUCAGCAAGACUUACCCGGCUAAAGAAAAGACUCUCAAGGGUAUGCUGGAUUCUGGGACUCAAGGUAAAGCUUAUCAAUUAUCGAAGACCCUUUUUAGCAGAAAAGCUUACUACCAAUUGAUCCCUAUGCCAAGUUUUAUUUCACAAAUUAGAUAUUUAACUGAAUCUAGAUUUGCCUAAUCUAGUUCAAGCACUUGACCUAUACUAGCUGCAUUUUAUCCAUACUCUUAUUUCACUUGCUAACUACGAUGAUGGUCACCGGGAUGAGACUCCAUAUCCGAGGAGCAACGACGAUUCGAACCAAUUAUACCCAGCUGGGGAUCUCUAACCACACGACAUAUGUAGCACUUAACACUUGCAUAUGUCAACUGUUCCCAUGGAGUCCUCCACUACAUGAACAGGUCCGCGCCACUCAAGAGCGCAUUACCCUACCAGGCGUGCUACUAUGCGAGGAGGGUACAUGCUACUCCCGCCAUCUCUCCACUCCCAGUGCGCGAUUAUCUCUUCACGUAUGGAAUAGCCGGGUUCAAGCUUACCUUGUGCCAUACCAGGGUAUGUGGCUAGUUGCAAAGUCUCAACCGCAACAGGCCAGUCAACGGUACAGUCCUUAAUCGACACAGACAGACGACCUUGUCUACUUAGCGUCUGGUCUCCAUUUAUUCAAACCAUUUUCCCAUUUUUGGUACCCGGCAGGGAUACUCUUUUUGGAUGAUGAACCCAUCCGGAGCCCUGAUGGACUCAUCAUCAUAAGUUUGCUUUCACUUUUGAAUCAAAAGCCCAUAACCAAUGUUACACAUCAUUCUUUUGAAAAACAAAUGAUUUUUGAGUUUCUAAGCAGGACUAAGCAGUAAUAAUUCUUUUUAUAAAACAUGGAUUUCAGAAUUUUGAAGGAAUGGUAAUGCAUCAAUUGUUUAUCACACAACUCCUAUCACCUAAUGCAUCAUAUCAGGUGAUAAAGCAUUUAAAACACAUGGGAGGGGAAAAUGCACCGGGGCUUGCCUUAUUGCAGGAGGAAAUCUGAGAUCUUCUAUUAUGAUAUGCAGUUAGAUGGAAUCCACCACUGGAUCAGCAGAACUAGAGCAGGCUCCUUCUUCACAAAUCACUUCUUCUUGGUACUCUACAAGAAAUGCCAUGAUUAUGAAUGCCUGUGUAUAUGCUACUAGCAAGGAAGAUAUUACGAAGAAUUACAAAAUUACAAUUACAAGCUAUCACCACAAGCCAUAACUACAAGAGAGCUACUUAUCCUUAGAACUCAUCUAACCAUCCAAAACUUGCUAAGAAACUUCAUUUUCAUUUUUUACUUAGUCAUUAGGUGCUUUAAUCACCCAGAGAUAAAUCUCUUUUUGCUUUUUGACCAACAACUAGUUUGCCAAGCAAAUCUUGUCCAAAUAGUUCCAAACAUUACCCAAGGGUUCAUAUGCUCAACAUAAGCUUACACAAUUUUCUCAUAAUUUUUAGUGCUCUAUUUUAUUACUAAAAGUUCAGACAAUCAUUUUAAGGCACCUUUUAAUCCUCUGAAAAUAUCAAUUUGAUGCAAAAACUCCAAAUCUAUUUUUACCUAGAACUCUACUACUUCACCCACCUAACAAAACUUGUUUCAUUAUUUUAGUACCUUUCCACAAUUUCUGGCGCAAAUAAACAGACAUCAGGUAAAAGAAAAUGCUAAAUAUAUGAACAGUCGUGGGCAAGAACUGACUCAACUGGCCCAACUCUAAACAACACUAGCCCAGUCAAGCAGCACUUACGGCUUUAGGCUCCAGCUCCGCGUGCACCCGUGCUCCCUCUGCGCGUGCCGGCUGCGACGCCAAACUCUAGAAACAACAACACGGAACAACGAUGCAGUAAAGUUCAAAUCAGCAACCGGG
rnacentral:lncRNA from 1 species